ACACACACAAAUACUAACGCACUCCAGAGAGUAUUAGAGAUUAGAUCACUAUUGGAUAGUUAUACAAUGUUGUAAAAGAAGAAUAUAAGUGUAUUUUCCCGGAAUGACAUUUCUCAGUGUACUUUCAUUCUGUUCUUCUGUCAACCUUACAGAGAGCUCAGAAAGACGAGAUGGAACAGAUUGGCAAAUAAAUCAAAUCUUCAAAAGAUAAAGAAAAUGCAAAACUACUGGACAAGCCAAAACAGUAACGAUCUGUCUGUCUGUCUAUAUCUGUUUAUCAGUCUUGUCUGUCUGUCUAUCUAUCAAUCAAUCAAUCAAUUAUUCACAUUGUGUCCCUCUCUUGUCCCUCUCUCUGUCAAGUUUCUGCUGCCGUUGUCAGAGGUUCCUCAUUUCUCAGUUUUCUGCAUUUUUUUUCCAGUUCACAUCACACAGUCUGUGUUACAUCAGCUCAGCGCAAGCUUGAAACACUGCUGAGAGUCUGUAGGGCUCUACAAUCAAGUCAAGCCACCCUGCAGGUUAUAGUAGGUUUGGUUCUAGCAUUUGGGAACAUUAUGAACGGGUGCAACCGGAGCCGAGGACAUGGAGAUGGAUUUAUCCUUGACAUCCUGCACAAUUUAAAAGAUGUCAAGAGCAGUGACAAUUCUCAGAGCCUCCUGUCCUACAUAGUUGCUUACUAUCUGCAACACUUUGAUGAGG